AUAGGAUUUCUCUCCAUGUAGUUUAGUUGCCACCCACUGUGGCGUUUUGUAAGGAUUGUCUUCUCCAUCAUUUUAUGCAUUCUUUGCUACCUACUUGGUUGAAUCUGUGAAGGAAUCAUUUGUGCAAUUGUGUUGGGUUGCGAUGCUAAUUCACUUCCUUUUCUUGUGAAGGAUGUUCACUGCCUCUUGCAAGAGAUUGAGGAUAAUGAAGAAUUCUAAAUCAAUUGGCAUAGGUAACCUUGUUAAUUAGCUUCAUUAUGUCUACUUUUGCAAUUAAAAAGAAUAAAAAUCAUAUUUUUAGUAGGACUUGCCUCAUAUGAUUGUGAUAGAAUAUUACAAUUGUUGAUAAUGUAUCGUUCCUAUGCUUUACUAGCUGUCUACAAUUUAAACAUAUCUGCUCAUUUUUUUUGUCCAAGGUUUCGUUACAGUGCAAUUGUGGUUUCUUUUGUUCAUUUAUAUUGCAUUAUUUCAGCUCAUUCCAUAGAAGAGGCAGAGGUCUUAUGUGACCGAAUAGGAAUAUUCGUAGAUGGAAAUAAUUUAUUUUAAAACUUGGAUUAUUAUUAUUUUAAUUGUUGUAUAUACAGCUUUAUACACAGCCCUAGAGGUUCUUAUUUGUUAGAAUUUUAGCUAUUGAGUAUAGAUUGAGAUUAUUGGCCACUUAUUCUUCCCACAAGUUCUCUCCAUUUCUCCCAAGGUUCUUAGCCAGUCCUUGUCUACUUUGGCAUGGACAUAUCAUGGAUUUUCCUAUAGCUACAUUUCUCUUUUCCUUAUCUUUCUCAUG